rnacentral:rRNA from 1 species
AGAACGAACGCUGGCGGCAGGCCUCAAACAUGCAAGUCUAGGGGGUGUAGCAAUACAUCACCGGCGGACGGGUGCGUAACGCGUGGGAAUAUACCUAUUGGUUCGGAACAACUGAGGGAAACUUCAGCUAAUACCGGAUGAGCCCUAACGGGGAAAGAUUUCUCGCCAAUAGAUUAGCCCGCGUCCGAUUAGCUAGUUGGUGGGGUAAAAGCCUACCAAGGCGACGAUCGGUAGCUGUUCUGAGAGGAAGAUCAGCCUCACUGGGACUGAGACACGGCCCAGACUCCUACGGGAGGCAGCAGUGGGGAAUAUUGGACAAUGGGGGCAACCCUGAUCCAGCCAUGCCGCGUGAAUGAUGAAGGCCUUCGGGUUGUAAAGUUCUUUUGGCGGGGACGAUGAUGACGGUACCCGCAGAAUAAGCUCCGGCUAACUUCGUGCCAGCAGCCGC